rnacentral:rRNA from 1 species
UUCUUAGUGGCGGACGGGUGAGUAACGCGUGGGUAACCUGCCCUGUACAGGGGGAUAACACUUAGAAAUAGGUGCUAAAACCGCAUAAGCGCACAGUGCCGCAUGGUACAGUGUGAAAAACUCCGGUGGUACAGGAUGGACCCGCGUCUGAUUAGCUGGUUGGAGGGGUAACGGCCCACCAAGGCGACGAUCAGUGGCCGGCCUGAGAGGGUGAACGGCCACAUUGGGACUGAGACACGGCCCAAACUCCUACGGAAGGCAGCAG